GAUGAACGCUGGCGGCGUGCCUAAUACAUGCAAGUCGAGCGAACAGAUGAGGAGCUUGCUCCUCUGACGUUAGCGGCGGACGGGUGAGUAACACGUGGAUAACCUACCUAUAAGACUGGGAUAACUUCGGGAAACCGGAGCUAAUACCGGAUAAUAUAUUGAACCGCAUGGUUCAAUAGUGAAAGACGGUUUUGCUGUCACUUAUAGAUGGAUCCGCGCCGCAUUAGCUAGUUGGUAAGGUAACGGCUUACCAAGGCAACGAUGCGUAGCCGACCUGAGAGGGUGAUCGGCCACACGAGAACUGAGACACGGUCCAGACGCCUACGGGAGGGAGCAGUAGGGAAUCUGCCGCAAUGGGCGAAAGCCUGACGGAGCAACGCCGCGUGAGUGAUGAAGGUCUUCGGAUCGUAAAACUCUGUUAUUAGGGAAGAACAAAUGUGUAAGUAACUAUGCACGUCUUGACGGUACCUAAUCAGAAAGCCACGGCUAACUACGUG
rnacentral:rRNA from 1 species